rnacentral:rRNA from 1 species
AGAGUUGAUCCUGGCUCAGGAUGAACGCUGGCGGCGUGCCUAACACAUGCAAGUCGAGCGAAGCACUUUGCUUAGAUUCUUCGGAUGAAGAGGAUUGUGACUGAGCGGCGGACGGGUGAGUAACGCGUGGGUAACCUGCCUCGUACAGGGGGAUAACAGUUAGAAAUGACUGCUAAUACCGCAUAAGACCACAGCACCGCAUGGUGCAGGGGUAAAAACUCCGGUGGUAUGAGAUGGACCCGCGUCUGAUUAGCUAGUUGGUAAGGUAACGGCUUACCAAGGCGACGAUCAGUAGCCGACCUGAGAGGGUGACCGGCCACAUUGGGACUGAGACACGGCCCAAACUCCUACGGGAGGCAGCAGUGGGGAAUAUUGCACAAUGGGGGAAACCCUGAUGCAGCGACGCCGCGUGAGCGAAGAAGUAUUUCGGUAUGUAAAGCUCUAUCAGCAGGGAAGAAAAUGACGGUACCUGACUAAGAAGCACCGGCUAAAUACGUGCCAGCAGCCGCGGUAAUACGUAUGGUGCAAGCGUUAUCCGGAUUUACUGGGUGUAAAGGGAGCGUAGACGGAUGGGCAAGUCUGAUGUGAAAACCCGGGGCUCAACCCCGGGACUGCAUUGGAAACUGUUCAUCUAGAGUGCU